rnacentral:rRNA from 1 species
UGUGAGCUCGAUGAGUAGGGCGGGACACGUGGUAUCCUGUCUGAAUAUGGGGGGACCAUCCUCCAAGGCUAAAUACUCCUGACUGACCGAUAGUGAACCAGUACCGUGAGGGAAAGGCGAAAAGAACCCCGGCGAGGGGAGUGAAAAAGAACCUGAAACCGUGUACGUACAAGCAGUGGGAGCCUCUUUUAUGGGGUGACUGCGUACCUUUUGUAUAAUGGGUCAGCGACUUAUAUUCUGUAGCAAGGUUAACCGAAUAGGGGAGCCGAAGGGAAACCGAGUCUUAACCGGGCGUUAAGUUGCAGGGUAUAGACCCGAAACCCGGUGAUCUAGCCAUGGGCAGGUUGAAGGUUGGGUAACACUAACUGGAGGACCGAACCGACUAAUGUUGAAAAAUUAGCGGAUGACUUGUGGCUGGGGGUGAAAGGCCAAUCAAACCGGGAGAUAGCUGGUUCUCCCCGAAAGCUAUUUAGGUAGCGCCUCGUGAAUUCAUCUCCGGGGGUAGAGCACUGUUUCGGCAAGGGGGUCAUCCCGACUUACCAACCCGAUGCAAACUGCGAAUACCGGAGAAUGUUAUCACGGGAGACACACGGCGGGUGCUAACGUCCGUCGUGAAGAGGGAAACAACCCAGACCGCCAGCUAAGGUCCCAAAGUCAUGGUUAAGUGGGAAACGAUGUGGGAAGGCCCAGACAGCCAGGAUGUUGGCUUAGAAGCAGCCAUCAUUUAAAGAAAGCGUAAUAGCUCACUGGUCGAGUCGGCCUGCGCGGAAGAUGUAACGGGGCUAAACCAUGCACCGAAGCUGCGGCAGCGACACUGUGUGUUGUUGGGUAGGGGAGCGUUCUGUAAGCCUGUGAAGGUGUACUGUGAGGUAUGCUGGAGGUAUCAGAAGUGCGAAUGCUGACAUAAGUAACGAUAAAGCGGGUGAAAAGCCCGCUCGCCGGAAGACCAAGGGUUCCUGUCCAACGUUAAUCGGGGCAGGGUGAGUCGACCCCUAAGGCGAGGCCGAAAGGCGUAGUCGAUGGGAAACAGGUUAAUAUUCCUGUACUUGGUGUUACUGCGAAGGGGGGACGGAGAAGGCUAUGUUGGCCGGGCGACGGUUGUCCCGGUUUAAGCGUGUAGGCUGGUUUUCCAGGCAAAUCCGGAAAAUCAAGGCUGAGGCGUGAUGACGAGGCACUACGGUGCUGAAGCAACAAAUGCCCUGCUUCCAGGAAAAGCCUCUAAGCAUCAGGUAACAUCAAAUCGUACCCCAAACCGACACAGGUGGUCAGGUAGAGAAUACCAAGGCGCUUGAGAGAACUCGGGUGAAGGAACUAGGCAAAAUGGUGCCGUAACUUCGGGAGAAGGCACGCUGAUAUGUAGGUGAAGUCCCUCGCGGAUGGAGCUGAAAUCAGUCGAAGAUACCAGCUGGCUGCAACUGUUUAUUAAAAACACAGCACUGUGCAAACACGAAAGUGGACGUAUACGGUGUGACGCCUGCCCGGUGCCGGAAGGUUAAUUGAUGGGGUCAGCGCAAGCGAAGCUCUUGAUCGAAGCCCCGGUAAACGGCGGCCGUAACUAUAACGGUCCUAAGGUAGCGAAAUUCCUUGUCGGGUAAGUUCCGACCUGCACGAAUGGCGUAAUGAUGGCCAGGCUGUCUCCACCCGAGACUCAGUGAAAUUGAACUCGCUGUGAAGAUGCAGUGUACCCGCGGCAAGACGGAAAGACCCCGUGAACCUUUACUAUAGCUUGACACUGAACAUUGAGCCUUGAUGUGUAGGAUAGGUGGGAGGCUUUGAAGUGUGGACGCCAGUCUGCAUGGAGCCGACCUUGAAAUACCACCCUUUAAUGUUUGAUGUUCUAACGUGGACCCGUGAUCCGGGUUGCGGACAGUGUCUGGUGGGUAGUUUGACUGGGGCGGUCUCCUCCUAAAGAGUAACGGAGGAGCACGAAGGUUGGCUAAUCCUGGUCGGACAUCAGGAGGUUAGUGCAAUGGCAUAAGCCAGCUUGACUGCGAGCGUGACGGCGCGAGCAGGUGCGAAAGCAGGUCAUAGUGAUCCGGUGGUUCUGAAUGGAAGGGCCAUCGCUCAACGGAUAAAAGGUACUCCGGGGAUAACAGGCUGAUACCGCCCAAGAGUUCAUAUCGACGGCGGUGUUUGGCACCUCGAUGUCGGCUCAUCACAUCCUGGGGCUGAAGUAGGUCCCAAGGGUAUGGCUGUUCGCCAUUUAAAGUGGUACGCGAGCUGGGUUUAGAACGUCGUGAGACAGUUCGGUCCCUAUCUGCCGUGGGCGCUGGAGAACUGAGGGGGGCUGCUCCUAGUACGAGAGGACCGGAGUGGACGCAUCACUGGUGUUCGGGUUGUCAUGCCAAUGGCACUGCCCGGUAGCUAAAUGCGGAAGAGAUAAGUGCUGAAAGCAUCUAAGCACGAAACUUGCCCCGAGAUGAGUUCU